rnacentral:lncRNA from 1 species
GGUGAAUUCACCUUAUUUUCAGUUGGUAGAGUAUGGAAAAAUGUAUCACUUAUUUGAAAUACCUGAAUGGAAACCCAGCCUCUACUACUGUAACUUAACACUUGUUCUUCCUGAGCCUCAAAUUUUCUUUCUCUGUAAGAAUGGGAAUUAAUGCCCACCUACGGGUUGCAAGUGCUUACAGGAGCUGGGCAAGCAACGAAGGUAAGAGUUGUAGAGACUUCGGUAAACUGGAGCACAUGAUUCCUGGGAAGCAGGCCUAGUGUAAACAAUUUAUUUUUCUAGAAAAGACAGAAGUUUAGAGUAUAUGAAAUCUAAUUUUUAAGUAUUGGUUGGCAACUAAUUGACUAUCGUCUACCAUAAGGUUAUAUGAUAAUUAUUAGGGCAGGAGAGUGAAUGCAUCUUAAUAUGCAUGGCAGAACUGUGUGUUUCCUUCCAUCUGGAUUUUCAUAAAGCUUUCUGAUUUAUCAGUAACGAUCUGAAAAAUGUACUGUGGCAUGUAACAUCUUUUAUUCAUUUUAUUAGGCAUUAGAGGAAGAAUAUUCUGUAGUCCUGCUUUAUUCUGCCAUCUUUACCUGGAAAUCCAUUUUUAUAAAAUUUUUGUAAUAAAAAUUCACUUGA